UGUGCUUGGGGCUGCUUCAUCCCA
rnacentral:piRNA from 1 species